GCGGGUGUCAUAGCGCACACCUGUAACCCCAGUGACUCGGGAAGCUGAGGCAGGAGGAUCACAAGUUUGAGGAUGGCCUCAGCACCUUAGUGAGAUCCUGUCUCAA
rnacentral:sRNA from 1 species